rnacentral:rRNA from 1 species
CGCGUAGGCGGUCUUGUCGGUCAGAUGUGAAAGCCCAGGGCUCAACCCUGGACGUGCAUUUGAAACAGCAAGACUUGAGUACGGGAGAGGAAAGCGGAAUUCCUGGUGUAGAGGUGAAAUUCGUAGAUAUCAGGAGGAACACCGAUGGCGAAGGCAGCUUUCUGGACCGAUACUGACGCUGAGGCGCGAAGGCGUGGGUAGCGAACAGGAUUAGAAACCCUGGUAGUCC